ACUACGGGGGGCUGCAGUGGGGAAUAUUGCACAAUGGGGGGAACCCUGAUGCAGCAACGCCGCGUGGGUGAAGAAGUACUUCGGUAUGUAAAGUCCUGUCAGCAGGGAAGAAAAUGACGGUACCUGACCAAGAAGCCGCGGCUAACUACGUGCCAGCAGCCGCGGUAAUACGUCGGGGGCAAGCGUAAUCCGGAUUUACUGGGUGUAAAGGGAGCGUAGACGGCAAGGCUAGUCUGGAGUGAACGCCCGUGGCUCAACCUCGGGACUGCUUUGGAAACUGUGUUGCUGGAGUGCAGGACGGGUAAGCGUCAUUCCUAGUGUAGCGGUGAUAUGCGUAGAUAUUCGGAGGCACACCGGUGGCGCAGGCGGCUUACUGCACUGUACCUGACGUUGAGGCUCG
rnacentral:rRNA from 1 species